CGGAGGCCAUUGCUAUCAGGGUUUGACUAAGCCAUGCGAGUCGAGAGGUGUAAGACCUCGGCAUACUGCUCAGUAACACGUGGUUAACCUGCCCUAAGGUGGAGAAUACUCCCGGGAAACUGGGGCUAAUGCUCCAUAGUGGAUAUGUCCUGGAAUGGUAUAUCCUCGAAAGAUCCGUCGCCUUAGGAUGGGACUGCGUCCGAUUAGGUUGUUGGCGGGGUAACGGCCCACCAAGCCUUUUAUCGGUACGGGUUGUGGGAGCAAGAUCCCGGAGAUGGAUUCUGAGACAUGAAUCCAGGCCCUACGGGGCGCAGCAGGCGCGCAAACUUUACAAUGCGAGCAAUCGUGAUAAGGAAACCCUGAGUGCCUGUCGAUGCAGGCUGUUCAUAUAUCUAAAUCAUAUGUGAAGAAAGGGCAGGGCAAGACCGGUGCCAGCCGCCGCGGUAAUACCGGCUGCUCGAGUGAUGGCCACUAUUACUGGGUUUAAAGCGUCCGUAGCUUGACUGUUAGGUCUCUUGGGAAAUCUUCGCGCUCAACGUGAAGGCGUCUAAGAGAUACCGGCAGUCUUGGAACUGGGAGAGGUAAACCGUACUUCGGGGGUAGGAGUGAAAUCUUGUAAUCCUCGAGGGACGACCUAUGGCGAAGGCAGUUUACCAGAACAGCUUCGACAGUGAGGGACGAAAGCUGGGGGAGCAAACGGGAUUAGAUACCCCGGUAGUCCCAGCCGUAAACAAUGUGCGUUAGGUGUGUCGGUAAC
rnacentral:rRNA from 1 species